UUGAAAUUGAACUUUGUUAGAAAGACUGCGCUUUUCAGCGCUCUUUGGUCAUAUGAUGAUAAAAGUAUUCAAGUAUGAAGGUGGUAAUUCAGAUGCAAUACAAUUGGAAAGUUUUGUGACUCAUCAAUUUACAGCAUGCAAUGCAAGUGACUAUACACAAACAUUAUGGAACAAAUUACACGUUGUUACAGAAAUAAUGCGUACAAUCAUUGGAUUAUUUUGCACAGGCCUUCAGACUAGAUGGGUUACUUCUGAUGACCCGAUGGACGAUUCUGGUACAGUAUUGACGGGUAUUGCAGCUGAGAAGAUUUAGCUAGAAGAGACCCCAACAGGUUCACCUAGAAACAUUAGAGAACUAAGUAAAAACAACGGAAUGCAAAUAGCAAACCUUAGCGGUGAACGGGAUGAAGCACAUCAAUUUUUCAGAGAGCCCAGAAUAUUACGAAAUUAUUAAAUCUACACGAGGAGAGAACGUCCGAAGAAACUAUUGAACGACUUAACGCUAAUAACUUGAACAAGAAGGGAGAUGACGUUCAUUAUUGGACCUGUGCGAAAAAGCGUAGCGUAAAUAUUUUAGAUCGAUGUGGAGCGACGCUUAUUUCGCGACUCACAACAGAACAGAGGUAUAAUACAGACACCUGUAAAGAAUAUCGUCACCGAACUUGCUGGAAAAUUUUUGCCUACGCUAUAGAUAGCUGUUAGAAAAAUGAGCGAUAGAAACCGUGAACCUCCGUCGUUAAUCAUUAGCGUUUGUGCCAAGAAU